UUCAAUUCAUUCACUCUUCCAUCGAUAGAUCUUGCUUCAAAUCCAUCGUGACCNNNNNNNNNNNNNNNNGAUCGCAACCUCUUCAAAACUUUCAGAACCUGCUUCUUCUCUACUUAUGAACAAGAACCAGGAACGCGCUUCUUCUCCAAAAAUUCCUUCGAGACUCGCAAACCCUUCUAUACCCCUUGAAACCCUAAAUUUCCAAAAAGCACAGACACUUCUCUACUACUUAAAACCCUAAAGUUCUCAAACGCGACUGCGACAAUAUGUUUGCUGCGAUUGACGAGGGUACCGGUGAUUCACAAGGUAUAUAAUUUUCUUGCAUGUUCAAGAAAGGAAAAACUAGAGUAGCACCGUCCCUGGGAGAAGAAGAGUAACAGCUAGUUACUUGAUACAAGGUGAGUAGAAUUACCCAGUUUAAUCAUCUUAGAUAGUUCCACGUGGCAAAUUUGAGUAGAAUUACUAAUAUCAUAUAUAAGAUACACGAGAAUUGACCUUACUAAUAUUUCCUCUUUGAUAUUGUAAAGUUAUGCUACAAGGUUUUGGUACUGUUAAUACCCUGCUAAAUAACAAAACGGAGGUUAUAGAGAUUCCUAGAAGUGAUAUAUGGAUCAAUUUGNN
rnacentral:lncRNA from 1 species